AAGAAUGAGUUAAUCACACACUGUGUUGAGUAAAGGAAUACAUCACACACACACACACACACCCCUUCUGCAUUUAUAGCCUAUGGUUUCUAAAUCAUGAAUAAAGGACUUGACAUUUCAUUUUAGUAAAAGUAUAAUUAAGGUAAGAUAUGCUAUAAUUCCAUAACUUAUAAAAACAGAUGAUUUAAUCAUAGGGAAUGAAAUAUAGUGUGCAGCAAACACAUCCUCAACUAGGCUUAUUAAUUUUAUAUUAAUGAUGCACCAUAAUUGUUUUUAUCUUCAUAAUAUUUACCUUUCAAUCUUCCAUAUUCAAAGAUAUAUUCAUGCUAUUUUUUGUUGGGAACAAAUGCUGCAAUAUUCUUGUUGCAAACAUCUAAGAGAACUCAAGCAGCUAAAAUUAAUAUUCUAUUUAUUUAUUUAGAAGAUAUAUAGUCAUUCCCCAAAAAGUUAGAUGAUGAAAACUUCCAAAAUGCAAAUCAAAUACAAUUUCUUGUUCUUACAAAUACUUCAUUAAAAACUAAUUGAGUGAAUUUUAUGUUUUAUAAUUUAAUUCCAUUAUAUAAGCAACAAUGAAUAUUUCUCUAAACAGUAAGUUUAGUAGAAAGAUGGCAAAAUGGGAUCAUCACGUCAAGUGAAUUGUUUUUAUUUAUUUUUCUGGUAGAGCAACUCCCUGAUGGGAAUGGUGGGAUACAGGGCUGUGUUCUCACCCCAACUCUCUUUGGCAUAUUCUUCUCCCUGUUGCUUUCCUAUGCCUUCAGUUCAGCUGAAGCCAAUGUGUACUUCCAUUCAAGGAGCGACAGAGGUCUAUUCAACCUAGCACAUUUUCAUGCCAAGACAGAAGUGUAGUGGGUUCUUAUCUGUGAGAUUUUGUUUCCAGAUGUUGCAGCCUUGAUAGUGCACUCCAAGGAACCUUCAGAGACUCAUCAAACAUUUUCCCCAAGCCUGCGUGGAGUUACCAGCAGCCUGAUGGAUACCAACAACUUGGAUCAGCAUGUCACCAGCACUCCACACAUCAGUACUGGUGACCACAUGCUUGAGCUGGUAGAUGACUUUGUCUACCUGGGCUCCACCAUAACCACCAACCUUUCCAUUGAUGCUCAGUUGGAGAAGCAUAUUGGUAAGGCAGCUACGGUAAUGGCUUGCCUCUCCAAAAGGGUAUGGAAGAAUGUGAUGUUAACGACCAGUACCAAGUUGAAGGUGUACCUGGCUUAUAUGCUGAGCACUAAUUUAUGGAAGUGAGUCAUGGACAACUUAUACCCACAAGGAGCAACACCUAAAUGCCUUCCAUAUGCACUGUGUCAGGGAGAUUCUGGGCAUCACAUAGAGUCCCAAACAAAGAUGUGUUCUUCCAAGCCCACAUUUCCAGCAUUUUCACACUUCUGUCUCAGCUACGUCUAUGCCGCCUUGGUCAUGUACACAGAAUGGAAGAUGGCAGGAUCCCGAAGCAUGCGCUUUAUGGGGAGCUGGCCUCAAGCACCAAGCCUGUUUGCAGACCAACUCUGUGUUAUAAAGAUGUCUGCAAAUGUGGCAUGAAGGCUGACAAAAUUAACCUCGCCAUGUGGGGAUCCCUUGCAGAUGACCACAGUGCCUGGAGACAGAGUUAGGUCAUAUAUUCACAGCAGUGACCAGAGGAGAAAUGACCACUGGGAGGAGCACAGAAAGAAGAAACACCAUGGUGCAUUUGUAGCAGCUAAAUGACGCCUUCUCUUGUUUUGGUCUCUACAUCUACAGCAAGCGCUGUAACUCUCCAGUGGUUAGACUUUGAAUCCAGGUGACAACCAACCUUUUAAAACUGCACCAAUAUUUUGGCUUCUUCUUGCUAGUAUCUUAUACGCUAGAAGGCAAUUAAGGCAUGUUUGUUUUUUUGUUUGGCUGUGUUCCAAACUAUACAUUUACCUAACUGAAACAAAUACACAUAUACUUAGGAGAGGCAAACCACUGUUUUAGCCAUCAUACAGCCUGAGUAGUAAUAUAGAAAUAAACAUUGUUAACAAUCUGUGAAACUUCUGGCAUUAGAUUGGGCAAGUGCAUAAGUUCUAAAUGCUGAAAAAGAAAUGGGGUAAAAUAUAGAUUUUUCAGAAAACUACAAAUGGGGAUUUGGGAACCCAAAGUACCAACAGAAAUAGCAGUGCUUUGUUUUCUUGAACUGUGCAGCCUUAAAAGCUGUGUUGGGCUAAAGUGUGCUUUCUAUCAGAGCAGUAGGUGUUAUAGAGAUUAUUUUAGUGGCAAGUCUGUGCAAAGAUGAAGGUACUUCAGUUUUCCUCUACUGAUUAGUGAAGUCCCAAAUGGCAAAUGUGAUAAACCUAGUCUUUUGAUACCCCUUUCCCCCCUUCAAUUCAAAGACGUUGAGAUCACAGGGUACAUUUUUCCAAACAUGAACUGGCGUUCUCCUCUGAAUUCUUCACAGAUCAGACAUUUAUAAUACUUAUGGCUGUCUCUCGACUUUUUUUCUGUUUCUUUGGCAUCUACAGAAUGUUUUAAGUAUUCCAGGACAGCCUGCCAGCCCAUAAAAUCAUUAUCAGAUUUCCAGUCUCUUGUGCCUCACUUAGAUCUUCUAAACUAUAUUGCAGACCUGUUUUCAGCUGAACUGCUUGGCAUGAGAAGCUUUUAAAUGAUGACUUCUAAACUUCCUGAAUCCAUUUUAUUUCACACUGUGACUAUUUUUGCAUCUUCCUGACAUUUGUAGUUCCCUUGAGGCAAAUGCUGCAGAAUGACAUGAAGACCUGCAGCCCUCACAGUUAGGUAAUCACAAGUUUGUGUACCUGAGAUGCCUUUUCAAAUUGUUAGUACAGUGGUACCUCGCAAGACGAAAAACGCGCUAGACGAAAGAGUUUUCCAUUUUUUGAGUCAUUCCGCAAGACGAAUUUCCCUAUGGGCUUGCUUCGCAAGACGAAACGUCUUGCGAGUUCUUGCGAGUUUGUUUCCUUUUUCUUAAAGCCGCUAAGCCGUUAAUAGCCGCUAAGCCGCUAAUAGCCGUGCUUCGCAAGACGAAAAAACCACAAGACGAAGAGACUCGCGGAACGGAUUAAUUUCGUCUUGCGAGGCACCACUGUAUUAAGAGAUGAAAGGGAAAGGUAUAAGUAAAGACUUUUCUGAACUGCAUUACUAGCAGUGCAAUCCUAUGCAUUGCUUGAAAUUUCCAUUGCGUUCACAGAAGCUUACUCCCAGGAAAGUGUACAUGGCAAUGUAGCCCAAGUGUUACAAGGAAGGCUUGAUUUAGAGUAGGGAACAGUGUGUCCUAGUUUGUAUGUUUUCAGGAUCAGACGUCAGUACUGAAGUAUGUAAUGUGAAAAAACGAGUGACUCAGAAUAUAUGCAGGUAUCACCUCUAAAUAGGUUUCGCUUACAUAGAAUCAUAGAAAUGGAGAGUUGGAAGGGACUCCAACUCUACAUUUCUAUUUCCCGUAUUUAGUUGAUACAUGAAUCUCAACUAAAUGACCCAUGACAGAUGACCACCCAACCUUGGUUUGAAGUCUUGAUUCUUCUGGCAAAAGGCUUCUAGGCAGAAUUGAUCCCCCAAACCUUUAAGAAGACAGGAGGUGAAAAAUGCAGUUCCCAGAAUUAUUUGUUGGAGGAAGUGUGAUUUUAAUGUACUUUAGAGGUAUUGGAUAUGAGUUCCCACUGGAUCCAAGCUUUCUAUAGUAUAACAUUUGCUAGGAUAAAGUAUGUGAGAGCUUGGACAAACACCAAUGGACAAAUAAAGUGGGUCAUCUGAGGAAAUUAUGGGAGCAACUCAUAAGAAAGUAAGAACAGCCUGAUGUGAUUCUAUAAUCAUAAUAGCCCAUCUAUGAUUCUAUUAUCUAGUCCAGCAUCCAUUUCUCACAGUGGACAACAAGAUGCCGUGUGAAGCCCACAAACAGGGCAUGAGCACUUUCCCACUCUGUGUUUUCCAGCAACUAGUAUUUAGAAACAUAAUGCCUCUGUGGAGGCAGAGCUGAAAACUCAAUAUUGUCAAACUAACAGCUUUAUUUUAGGAGGAAAAAGGCCACGGAAGAGAGUGACAGGUGGAGUUUAGUAACUGAGUAUGUCAAGAAGGAACUAAGAAGCUCAGGUCAAGGAAUAGACUACAUGUAUUUAUAGAAUUAUAUGAUAUAAAAAUGGAAAGGGUGUGAGUAUAUAUGUUCUAAUAUUUGGAAAUAAUUAAUAUUAUGUCUAGUCUAUUGUUUGGUAUAAAUAUUUUAGUAUUUAUAGAGCAGAUAAUUAUACUGAAUAGCUUUAACCACAUCAUUGCAAUAUAUUUAUAGGGUAUUUUGUAUUGUACUAAAAAGAGGAAGAAACUUAAGAGCCUCUAAAUCUCAAAUCACUUUCUGAGUUGUUAUAGCUUAGUUUUAUUCGUGUGUGUUUAGGCUAGGCAAUUGUGGAAUUAUGCGGUUGGGGAGAUGGAGGAUGAAACAAUAACAAGCAGGACCUGAGCACAAGAACAUUCUCCUGCACUGUCAUCCCCAGAAACUGGUAUUUGGGAACAUUACUCUCUUCAUCCAUGGUACGUCUGAAACUGGUCCAACAAUACACACAUUUUUGCUGUCACUGCCCUGUUUCUUAGCAGCAGUACUACUUGUGGCAGCUGGUGGCCAUGAUUCCCCCAUCCCCCCCCAAAAAAAACCCUUUGUUUGACAUUAUGUCAUUAUGCGGCAUUAUUCCAAGAGGGAUUCUGUACACAAAUGCUGCCCUUCACCAUGGGCUCCUCCAGAGCAACCUCCAGAAUGACAGUGCAUAAUGAUGUAGUAUUACACAGAGGGAGGACAAAAACAACAACUCUAGGAGAAAGAAGCACUGCCACAUAUUUGGAAAUUUUAAUGUAUUUACCCCCCCAACAAAGGAAGUUGUGUUGGCCCAUAAGAAAAAUGGCAGAAAUUCAUAUUGGGACAAUGCCUUUAUAAGUCACAAAAUAGUGUGCAGGCUUUCAAAUUCUCUAGAACUCAACAUCAGGCUAGAUGGUAAACACAAAGGGGAGAGAAGAGAAAGAAAGUUUGCUACCAGUACAACCAUGAGUCUGAUUUAAUAAGAAUCUUAAGAUGGAACUUGCCAGGAGAUAGCAAUGAUGUUUCAGAUUGCAUUAUGGAAACUAAAGAGAAACUGCAGGGCGGUUCCCUGAUAGACGAAGAACUAGAAUAAGCAGAAAGCUAAUUUUCUUGGUAAUCUACCAAGGAGCUUGUGUAUUUGUCUUCAGAAUCUCAAUUGAAUGUCUGCUACCUCCUCCUGCAUUCCACCUUUAGACUCCUACAAGAUGCAACUCCUGGCUUUAGCACCAGCCAUUCCCAACUGCAGCUCACUUGUUUACCAUCUAGCUGUCAGGGAUGUCAGGGACUGGGCAGAGGAGGAGUGGUAGAGACCUCCACCUCAAGAAGUGUCCGAGCAGGAGCAAGAUGAGGAUACAGUGGACCCAGAUUCAUGGUGGUGGCUAACAGGACACACCCCAGAGGAAGAAGCAAAGAGCUGGGAAAUCAUGGAAGAUGAGGAACAGGAGCAAGCUAGCAGAUGCUCUAGUCCUGAACAGACACUCGGAGAAAGAGUACAGCAUACAGUGGACACGACAUCACUUGAAAGCCUGGUGAAAUCUUCUCCUUCCUCACAGACCAGGAGAUCUCUUCAUAUCUUGGAGCAGAAGGCUAAACAGACAGAAAGAGUCCGUUGCCAUCCACCAUAGGCAGCAAGAAGGGGUUGGGAAGCUAGGAAGUGCCACAAGGGGGUGGAGGGGGCACUCUGAGCAUCGUCUCGAGACUGAAGAGAGCAUAAUCCAUGGUCUCUAUGUGUAUCCUGUUGAUUUAAAUAAAAGAACUAGCAGGAGCUCUCUGUGUUUCUGAUUUCACUAGGAAGCUAGCUUGGGAGUUGUGACACUAGCUUGCUGAACAGCUUUCAGUGGAACUGGAAAGUUUGCACAUUGGUAGGCCUAAUAAAGGCAUUGCCCUAAUACAGAUUAGCACUAUUCUGUAAAAGUAUGGAACACAACCUGGGCUCCAUUCCUGUGUAUGCUAGACACAAUUUUAUGGAUGAUCUUUCUUGGAGAAUAAAUGCCAAGCUGUAGAUUGAUCUGGGAAGGAAUCAUGUUUCUUAAGUACAUUAUCACUGCUCUUCAAUUUGUGGCCUUUUACAACCACAGUAAAUUGACCGUAAAUCGGGAAAAGACUUUAAUGCUUAAUAGAAACUACGGAAACUGCCUGAAGUCUGCAUUAGUUUUGCUUUCUCAUUGUGGAUGUUGGGAAUUCCUUGGCUACAUCCAUGCCAAUCUUCUGAGAAUGCACAGUUGGUGUAUUGUACAUAUAUUAUCAGCUAAAUAAGCAAGUGUCUAUAUUUUAUUUAUUUAAAUAUUUUUGAACUGGUUUUGUAUUUAAAAAUCGCAAAGCAGUGUGCAAAAGAAUAAAAAGAAUGUAAUACACAAUGAAACAGAAUUAAAACAGCAUAGGAGACAAUUCUACAGCUUCACAGUGCCCAGUAAUCUACACGAUGAAUAUUACUACUCUGAAAGAACUUGGGUAAACGAAAAGGCUUUUAGCCUAUUCCC